ensembl:misc_RNA 7SK 7SK RNA
GGAUGUGAGGGUGAUCUGGCUGGACGUGUCACCCCAUUGAUCUCCAGGGUUGAUUUGGCUGAUUGGCUGGCUAGGCGGGUGUCCUCUUCCUCAGUCACAGCUCCAUGUGCAUCCCUCCUGAAGCUGCGAGCUUAGUCUAAGAGGACAGCCUUCCCCAAUAGAGACUGAUCAGUUUGGUCAAGGGUAUAGGAGUAGCUGCGCUCCCCUGCUAGAACCUCCAAACAAGCUCUCAAGGACAGAGAGAAAUUGAGAGAGGAGGGUAAGACGGAGAGGGGAAGAGAAAGAUAGACACCUGCACACUUGCUUCACCACCUGUGAAGCAACUGC